rnacentral:ncRNA from 3 species
UCGAGCCGUAUGCGGGGAAACUCGCACGUACGGUUCCUAGGGGGCCCCUUCUCCGCAAGGAGAAGGGGCUACCCUAC